rnacentral:rRNA from 1 species
AAUCAACGCUGGCGGCGUGCCUCAGACAUGCAAGUCGAACGAUUAAAGCUCUCUUCGGAGAGUGUAUAGAGUGGCGCACGGGUGAGUAACACGUAAGUAAUCUACCUUUGAGUGGGGAAUAACAAUCGGAAACGAUUGCUAAUACCGCAUAAUGCAGCGGCAUCGCAAGAUGACAGUUGUUAAAGGAGCAAUCCGCUUAAAGAGGAGCUUGCGGCAGAUUAGCUAGUUGGUAAGGUAAUGGCUUACCAAGGCUACGAUCUGUAUCCGGUCUAAGAGGACGGUCGGACACACUGACACUGAAUAACGGGUCAGACUCCUACGGAGGCAGCAGUCGGGAAUUUGGGUCAAUGGGCGAAAGCCUGACCCAGCAACGCCGCGUGAAGGAUGAAGUAUUUCGGUAUGUAAACUUCGAAAGAAUAGGAAGAAUAAAUGACGGUACUAUUUAUAAGGUCCGGCUAACUACGUGCCAGCCGCCGC